rnacentral:lncRNA from 1 species
UGGACCAAAUUCUGUGCACUCUGCAGACUAUCCCUAAGCAGGCAACUCAGCCUGGCGAAGACAGGAAAAGAAGAGAAGCUGAUUCGACCUUUUUGAUUUGACCUUUAGGUGCUGGGGUAGCUGAUUUAUAUAGAAAGACCAGGAAGAAUCCAGCCAAGACAUUUACUGUAGUCUGACCGUGUCAUAACAGUGUUUUGGCCUUGUGCACAUACCCUACAGCUGAGCAGGCUGGGAGAGAGAGAGAGAGAGAGGUCUUCUCUGACCCUGAGGAAAAACGGGCUGUUCAUAAGUCACUCAUUAGCCUAAGAGAGAAAAAAAAAACUUUUCGUGAGAAAAAACAAGACCUAACUGGGAAAGUAGCUGUUUUUAUUCACAAGUUCCCAAAAUAACUUCCCACCCAACUGAAGAUUUAAAAAACGCCACUGUGGUCGGUUCUUAUUUUGCUUUUUUUUUUCAGGGUAUCAUUAAACAACAGCCUUCUGUUUCGAUAAACACUAAUGUCAUGUCGCCAGGGGGUGAUUUCGGUGAGGUAUUUAAAAAGACUUCACGGCUUUAGUGCUGUGCUUAUCUUGACCGCAGGGGGGCGCCGUUAGCAUGCCAGAGCGCUGCACCUGUGCGGGAAUGUGUCGUGACUUUCAAGAACUGGGAACAAGGAAACGGAAUAACUCCGACCUCUUUUGAGUCAGACCUUAAAAAGCAUGAAUUGUUAUGGGAAACCGUAUUACGAAAGGAGUGGAUAAGCGGGGGCUGAAGUCUCCAAAUAAAAAGGAUCAAAAGAAAGAUGGAAAGGCUGACCUCUCACAACAGGAAGAAGCCCACAUGUACGACGCGGUGGCUGAGAUGCCGAUCUACUCCGUGGUGAACAAGCGCCGCAAGGCCGGGGGGCAGAGGCAGGAGGAGCUGCACUACGCCGAGAUCCAGGUGCUGCAGGGGCCCCCCUCCUCCAGCAGGGGGAGCAGCGCGCCGGCGCUCCGGCAGAGCAGCAGCACGGAGUACGCCACCAUAGACUUCCAGCCGCCCCCGCCCCCGCCCCACGGCCCCCCCCGCAAGGCGUCCGGCCCCCCGCGGGCCGCCAGCGCCAGAGCCAGGACUGCCGCCAAGCCCGCAGAAAUCCGCAUCCCCUCUGGCACGGUGAAGAGACCCGCCCCCAGGCCCCAGCCGCGGAAGGGCACGCUGGUGUAG